rnacentral:lncRNA from 1 species
CAUUAACAGGAGAAUAGAUUUAAAAUAUGGUAUAUUCAUAUAAUUGAAUACUAUAUAACAGUAAAAAUGGAUACACUGUAGCUAUGGGCAACAACAUGGAUGCAUCUCAGGAAUACAUUGAGUGGAAAAAGCAAGUCACCGAACGAUCUAUGCAGUAAAAUUUCAAUUUAUAUAGUUUGAAACCAUGCAAAAUCACAUAUUAUAUAUGUUCAGGCAUA